AUUCACCCUAGAAAUUUUCAGAGAGGCUUCUUUGAAACAAUUUUUGACAAAAUGGGGUAAGGUGCGCUCGGAGAUGCAUCUCUGAAAUUUUUUGAGAGAAAUUUCGGGUUUACAGAAGUGUGAGCCACAUCAUAAGGGUAAAAAUUUCUGUCAAUAUAGUUGAGCAGCCAUUGAAUGAUGGAAAUGAUCUUGCUAGCUGACUUGCGGAUCAAUAUGAAGGCAAUCAUUCUCAAUGAAGUUUCUAUGAAAGAAAACUUUUUUGAAUUUCAGAAGGCUUUGCACCAGCCGUAAAACAUGAUCUCCUUGAGAUUUCUUUAGAUAAUAUUGUUAAGAGAACAAUUUGAAAGAUUUUGCCGACAUAUUUGAAGGGUUCUGAUUGCACCGACAAAUUUGUGUGGCCUAGAAUCAAUCUUCAUUUGUAUAAAUAAGGGCAUAUAUUAUAAAGAAAUACAUCUCAAAAAAUAUCUCUUCCUGAAUUUUUUAUUAAGGCUGGAGUGUAUUUCAACAGAAACAAUCCUCCUGUUGAAUUCAAGCUUUCAGAUAGCGUCGCACCCCUCGCCAACUUGACAAACAAGUUGAAUGAGUUAGUGUCUGAUAUCGAUAACAAAACACUGAGUAGAAGACCAACGAAGAUGUCAAGGCCAUGUGGAAAUCAUUUCGCCGUAGGAUAACUAAAGGUCUGAUCAAGUUGGAUGCGCAGAUAACAAGAUUCGUUGACGAUAUAAUGAAGAUGUUGAAACGUUCAAAAUCAUCUAGUAGUACUUAGAUUUUCAUGUUUAGUGCUUUUAAUUUUUGUUUGUUGUACUGUUUUUUGUUGUGUUCAUCUUUGAAUCAUGUAAUUCCCAAAAAUAUUAUAAAAUAUUACCAAACCAGUGA